rnacentral:rRNA from 1 species
UAGAGUUUGAUCCUGGCUCAGAUUGAACGCUGGCGGCAUGCCUUACACAUGCAAGUCGAACGGUAACGCGGGGCAACCUGGCGACGAGUGGCGAACGGGUGAGUAAUAUAUCGGAACGUACCCGGUAGUGGGGGAUAGCCCGGCGAAAGCCGGAUUAAUACCGCAUGAGACCUCAGGGUGAAAGCGGGGGAUCGCAAGACCUCGCGCUAUUGGAGCGGCCGAUAUCAGAUUAGGUAGUUGGUGGGGUAAAGGCCUACCAAGCCGACGAUCUGUAGCUGGUCUGAGAGGACGACCAGCCACACUGGGACUGAGACACGGCCCAGACUCCUACGGGAGGCAGCAGUGGGGAAUUUUGGACAAUGGGCGCAAGCCUGAUCCAGCCAUGCCGCGUGCGGGAAGAAGGCCUUCGGGUUGUAAACCGCUUUUGUCGGGGAAGAAAUCCUCUGGGCUAAUACCCCGGGGGGAUGACGGUACCCGAAGAAUAAGCACCGGCUAACCACGUGCCAGCAGCCGCGGUAAUACGUAGGGUGCGAGCGUUAAUCGGAAUUACUGGGCGUAAAGCGUGCGCAGGCGGUCGUGCAAGACAGGUGUGAAAUCCCCGGGCUCAACCUGGGAACUGCAUUUGUGACUGCACGGCUGGAGUACGGCAGAGGGGGAUGGAAUUCCGCGUGUAGCAGUGAAAUGCGUAGAUAUGCGGAGGAACACCGAUGGCGAAGGCAGUCCCCUGGGCCUGUACUGACGCUCAUGCACGAAAGC